rnacentral:rRNA from 1 species
GAUGAACGCUGGCGGCGUGCCUAAUACAUGCAAGUCGAGCGAACAGAUAAGGAGCUUGCUCCUUUGACGUUAGCGGCGGACGGGUGAGUAACACGUGGGUAACCUACCUAUAAGACUGGAAUAACUCCGGGAAACCGGGGCUAAUGCCGGAUAACAUUUAGAACCGCAUGGUUCUAAAGUGAAAGAUGGUUUUGCUAUCACUUAUAGAUGGACCCGCGCCGUAUUAGCUAGUUGGUAAGGUAACGGCAUACCAAGGCAACGAUACGUAGCCGACCUGAGAGGGUGAUCGGCCACACUGGAACUGAGACACGGUCCAGACUCCUACGGGAGGCAGCAGUAGGGAAUCUUCCGCAAUGGGCGAAAGCCUGACGGAGCAACGCCGCGUGAGUGAUGAAGGUCUUCGGAUCGUAAAACUCUGUUAUUAGGGAAGAACAAAUGUGUAAGUAACUGUGCACGUCUUGACGGUACCUAAUCAGAAAGCCACGGCUAACUACGUG